rnacentral:rRNA from 1 species
CCUACGGGGGGCUGCAGUGGGGAAUAUUGGACAAUGGGGGCAACCCUGAUCCAGCCAUGCCGCGUGUGUGAAGAAGGCCCCCGGGUUGUAAAGCACUUUCAGUGAGGAAGAACGCCUGGUGGUUAAUACCCAUCAGGAAAGACAUCACUCACAGAAGAAGCACCGGCUAACUCCGUGCCAGCAGCCGCGGUAAUACGGAGGGUGCGAGCGUUAAUCGGAAUUACUGGGCGUAAAGCGCGCGUAGGUGGCUUGAUAAGCCGGUUGUGAAAGCCCCGGGCUCAACCUGGGAACGGCAUCCGGAACUGUCAAGCUAGAGUGCAGGAGAGGAAGGUAGAAUUCCCGGUGUAGCGGUGAAAUGCGUAGAGAUCGGGAGGAAUACCAGUGGCGAAGGCGGCCUUCUGGACUGACACUGACACUGAGGUGCGAAAGCGUGGGUAGCAAACAGGAUUAGAUACCCGAGUAGUC